UACAGAGGUCCCGAGCGUUGUUCGGAUUCAUUGGGCGUAAAGGGUGCGUAGGCGGCUUCCUAAGUUUGAUGUGAAAUCCUGGGGCUCAACCCUGGAACUGCAUUGAAUACUGGGAGGCUAGAGUACUGGAGAGGAAACUGGAAUUUACGGUGUAGCAGUGAAAUGCGUAGAGAUCGGGAGGAACACCCGUGGCGAAGGCGGCCAUCUGGACCAGCACUGACGCUGAGGCACGAAAGCGUGGGGAGCAAACAGG
rnacentral:rRNA from 1 species